rnacentral:tRNA from 1 species
UUGGGGAUGUAGCUCAGUAGUAGAGUACUUGCCUAGUAUGUAUAAGACUCUGGGUUCAAGUCCCAAUACCAAAA